rnacentral:rRNA from 1 species
AUUGAACGCUGGCGGCAUGCCUUACACAUGCAAGUCGAACGGCAGCACGGGAGCAAUCCUGGUGGCGAGUGGCGAACGGGUGAGUAAUAUAUCGGAACGUGCCCAGUCGUGGGGGGUAACGCAGCGAAAGCUGUGCUAAUACCGCAUACGAUCUACGGAUGAAAGCGGGGGAUCGCAAGACCUCGCGCGAUUGGAGCGGCCGAUAUCAGAUUAGCUAGUUGGUGGGGUAAAAGCCCACCAAGGCGACGAUCUGUAGCUGGUCUGAGAGGACGACCAGCCACAAUGGAACGGAGACACGGUCCAGACUACUACGGGAGGCAGCAGUGGGGAAUUUUGGACAAUGGGCGCAAGCCUGAUCCAGCCAUGCCGCGUGAGUGAAGAAGGCCUUCGGGUUGUAAAGCUCUUUCGGACGGAAAGAAAUUGCUUCGGAUAAUACCUGGAGUAGAUGACGGUACCGUAAGAAGAAGCACCGGCUAACUACGUGCCAGCAGCCGCCGUAA